AUUGAACGCUGGCGGCGUGCCUAAUACAUGCAAGUCGAGCGGAGUUGUCCCUUCGGGGAGAGCUUAGCGGCGGACGGGUGAGUAACACGUAGGCAACCUGCCUGCAAGGCUGGGAUAACAUCCGGAAACGGAUGCUAAUACCGGAUACGCAAUUUUGCCGCAUGGCGGAAUUGGGAAAGGCGGAGCAAUCUGCCGCUUGCAGAUGGGCCUGCGGCGCAUUAGCUAGUUGGUGGGGUAACGGCUCACCAAGGCGACGAUGCGUAGCCGACCUGAGAGGGUGAUCGGCCACACGGGGACUGAGACACGGCCCAGACUCCUACGGGAGGCAGCAGUAGGGAAUCUUCCGCAAUGGACGAAAGUCUGACGGAGCAACGCCGCGUGAGUGAUGAAGGUUUUCGGAUCGUAAAGCUCUGUUGCCAGGGAAGAACGCUUGGGGGAGUAACUGCCCUUAAGGUGACGGUACCUGAGAAGAAAGCCCCGGCUAACUACGUGCCAGCCGCCGCAGUAAAAC
rnacentral:rRNA from 1 species